rnacentral:rRNA from 1 species
GAGUUUGAACCUGGCUCAGGAUGAACGCUAGCGACAGGCUUAACACAUGCAAGUCGAGGGGCAGCGGUGGUGAAGGCUUGCCUUUACCAGCCGGCGACCGGCGCACGGGUGAGUAACACGUAUGCAACCUGCCUGCCACAGCCGGAUAAUCGGGAGAAAUUCCGUCUAAUACGGCAUAAUGCAUCGACGGGACAUCCUGUUGGUGCCAAAGGUUGAUUCCGGUGGCGGAUGGGCAUGCGUCGCAUUAGUUAGUUGGCGGUGUAACGGACCACCAAGACGACGAUGCGUAGGGGUUCUGAGAGGAAGGUCCCCCACACUGGUACUGAGACACGGACCAGACUCCUACGGGAGGCAGCAGUGAGGAAUAUUGGUCAAUGGGCGGGAGCCUGAACCAGCCAAGUCGCGUGAGGGAUGACGGCCCUAUGGGUUGUAAACCUCUUUUGCCGGGGAGCAAAGUGCCGCACGUGUGCGGUUUGGAGAGUACCCGGAGAAAAAGCAUCGGCUAACUCCGUGCCAGCAGCCGCGGUAAUACGGAGGAUGCGAGCGUUAUCCGGAUUUAUUGGGUUUAAAGGGUGCGUAGGCGGACGCUUAAGUCAGCGGUAAAAUUGCGGGGCUCAACCUCGUCGAGCCGUUGAAACUGGGUGCCUUGAGUGGGCGAGAAGUACGCGGAAUGCGUGGUGUAGCGGUGAAAUGCAUAGAUAUCACGCAGAACUCCGAUUGCGAAGGCAGCGUACCG